CGCGUGCACUGGUUCGGCCGGGCCUUUCCCUCUGGGGAGCCGCAUGCCCUUCACUGGGUGUGUCGGGGAACCAGGACUUUUACUUUGAACAAAUUAGAUCGCUUAAAGAAGGCCUAUGCUCGAAUACAUUAGCAUGGAAUAAUAGAAUAGGACGCGUGGUUCUAUUUUGUUGGUUUCUAGGACCGCCGUAAUGAUUAAUAGGGACAGUCGGGGGCAUCAGUAUUCAAUUGUCAGAGGUGAAAUUCUUGGAUUUAUUGAAGACUAACUACUGCGAAAGCAUUUGCCAAGGAUGUUUUCAUUAAUCAGGAACGAAAGUUAGGGGAUCGAAGACGAUCAGAUACCGUCGUAGUCUUAACCAUAAACUAUGCCGACUAGGGAUCGGACGAUGUUAUAUUUUGACUCGUUCGGCACCUUACACGAAAGUAAAGUUUCUGGGUUCUGGGGGGAGUAUGGUCGCAAGGCUGGAACUUAAAGAAAUUGACGGAAGGGCACCACCAGGGGUGGAGCCUGCGGCUUAAUUUGGCUCAACACGGGGAAACUCACCAGGUCCAGACACAAGUAGGAUUGACAGAUUGAGAGCUCUUUCUUGAUUUUGUGGGUGGUGGUGCAUGGGCCGUUCUUAGUUGGUGGAGUGAUUUGUCUGCUUAAUUGCGAUAACGAACGAGACCUUAACCUGCUAAAUAGCCCGCAUUGCUUUGGCAGUGCGCCGGCUUCUUAGAGGGACUAUCGG
rnacentral:rRNA from 1 species